AUUUAAUAUUCAUGAGUGGAUUCGUUAUUUUUUCACAGUAACGUUACUUAUAAUAUAGCGAUUCGACAGAGGAAGAACCAGGAUGUAUCCCAUCCAUGAAUGUAUACCAGAAUGUAGUAUUUUUUUUCUAAAUAUUAAACUAACAUAGCAGGUGUCCAUGCAUGCAUCUAACUUCCAAAGGUCAUGAAAAGCUGCACACCAGGCAGACAACUUAUAAUUGAAUGUAUGAACGGUCCGUUAUAUGGGAAGCUGAUAACACAAACCAAUCCCAAAUUCAGCUACGGUGAACAAGAUGAAGAAGCCAGACUGUCACAGAAUCAACACAUUGAUUAAGGAUCAUAGGCUGUGUUCGGAAUGGAAUACUAGUUCACUGAAUACUGCACAGUAUACACUUCAAAAACAGCCUCUGAGGUCAUGUUCUGGAUGUGAAGGUCAGGAGCGUGGCUGACAGCUUUUCUACUUAGAGUGCCAGAAGACGACUAGCAAACCUUCAACACACACUUGCUUAUAACUUUACUCAUUUAUUUUGGGCGGCAUCAACACGGUUCCUAAUUGAGCAACGACACCGUUAUACCCUUAACAAAUGUGAUGUCUCAUGUUUCUGAGUCCUAACGUGCGUUAAAACGUGGUUUGAUCCAAGAGGGAAGAAACCCUGCCAUGGCACAUGCUGAAUGAAGGAUAAGUUUGGCACACAAGUCUCAAUGUAGUAGCUGUCAAACAGCCUGCCAAGGAGAAAUCAGUGCAUUCGUGAUGAGCAGGUUUUGUCUUAGAAUAGAAUAUGAUCUUUAUUUAUUACCAAAUAAAUAAGCCUGCGAGAUGUUGUAAUAGAAUGAUGGCAUGAUUUUAUCAUAGGGACAAUUCCCUUAGAGAAAUCUGAGGUUAAAGGGAUAGUUCGCCCUAAAACCCAACCCUAAAGCUGGCUCUUCCAAGCUUUUAUAAUGGUAGUGAAUGGGGGGCGAGAUUUUGAAGGUCCCAUAUAUUUAUUAUUGUUUUUACUCUGUUUUUGUUCAAAUAAAUGCAGUCUGGGUGAGCAUAUGCUUCUUUCAAAAACAUUUAAAAAAAAUCUUAUAUUAUUUAUUGAAUUUGUAUAUGUUGAGAAUGUAGGGAGACUGACUUGAUUAUGUCAUUUGCAAUGCUUCAUGGGAGUUUGAGGUUGCUUUCUCUUUAGGAUUCAUGGGUAGUGUAGUUCUUCACCUAAAAAAUUGGCUAUUGAAUAUGAUUUUUUUUUUUAAAUGACAUUAAAAUUACUUUGACUGAUGGCUUCAACAGAAGUAUAACAUUGAUUAAUAACCUCCAAGCUUAUGGUACGUCUGUCUCAAAAGGCCUGUAUAUAAUCGUUUUAAAUCGUUUUCUCUAUAAAGAAAAUGAAUGGGAUUUUUAUUUCCAGAACCCAACCCUGGAAUGUUCCAGUUACAGGCUCUGCAUUUUAACCACUGCAACAAAACACCACCACAUUACUGGCUAUCUUUUAAAACUGAAUGUGUAUUUAGUGCAUAUGCUUUAUGCACGAAUUCACCGUUUUCACACCGUCACCAUGAUAAAAGCACAUGGCGAGCAAUUGUCGACUUCGUGCACUCCAGAUCUUUGCAGACAGUGUACAGAGUUCAUUACAAUGUAAUAAUCAUCCUGACUAUGCUGAUCGUGAUGUUAGCUGCAGGAUAAAUGCGGUGUAACUGCUUUCCACCCCACUCCCACAUUUCUUCGCUUUCCCACAGAGCUGCUUACUCUUGCUUAGCGUGCUCAGAUCGGCCGCAGCUGUUUGUGUUGGUCUCCACCCUCUCCAGCAGAGCUCGAUUACAUAACGUUACAGAGUGAUUGAUGAGCUCUCAGAUUUCUGUGCACUGCCAAGUGUCCAUUCUCUCUCCUCUGUCCAGUCGUCUGCAUAAAUUUUCUUGUCUCCUGUCGCUUUCUUACCUCGAUCUUUUCAUCUUCAGAAUAGAACAAAGAAGAGGCAAAGCAAAUCCUUCAGAAACAGAGAUGAUAAGACAGUCUGCUGGCAGGGCACAAGUGCAAAUCUGAGUCAUCCAGUUUUAUGAGCUUAAUCUCAUUCAUGUCACAACACGCACCGAGCUGAUGAAAUGACAUAUAUUGCACUUGCAGCACAUUGCACUCUUAGCACACAGAAAGGUCUCCUGAGGUCUUCUUUUUGUCUAGCAAAUGUUCUUACAUUACUCCUUUGCUCACUCAUUACUGGGUUUUCUGCACCAACCCAAAGUAUUACUCAAUUCUGAUAUGUGACUAGACCAUUAAACAUCUGUUAUCAGUACAGGGACUUUUUUCACUCUUAUCAGAUCUAAUGUUUGAGCAUUACUGUGCAGCAGAAAAAAAAAACGAACAGACUUUGCAAGAGAAGAGACAGGGAAAAACUUCUGUAAUCGGUUUCAUGGGAAUAGUGAGCCGUUCUUUCUUUGACUUUACAUCAUUGAACAGGAGACUCACGGAACAAGCUUUAGUGCAUCUUAGGGAGUUACGGCACUCACAGGUUUAGACAGACAUUAUUACUUUCAAUCAAAUUUUCAUAGGACUGACAUAAUGCACCAAUAACGAGAGGUGACAACUGCUAAUUAAUAUUCAGAAGAGUUUGCGAAGGCAGUGUUUCAAGUACCUUAGCUCAAACUUAGAGGUAGAACAAGUUUUCCAUUCCACUGCACUACUUUUCCAUUGUUUUUUAUGUAAACACGCUAGACGGACGUGUUUGACCACUGCCCUUACGUUUUGCUUCUUUUGCAGCAUCUUGUGCAUAACACAGCAUUUUAAAAACACAGCGUUCAAGUUAAAGGAUUAGUCCACUUUUAAAUACACUUUUCCUGA